rnacentral:rRNA from 1 species
UACCUGCAGAUCAAGUGGUGGCCGCUAUUAUUGGGCCUAAAACGUUCGUAGCCGGCUGAGUAAAUGCUUGGGUAAAUCGUGCCGCUUAACGGUACGAAUUCCGAGUAGACUACUCAGCUUGAGACCGGGAGAAGCUAGAGGUACUCCUGGGGUAGGGGUGAAAUCCUGUAAUCCUGGGGGACCACCAGUGGCGAAGGCGUCUAGCUAGAACGGGUCUGACGGUGAGGGACGAAACCCUGGGGCGCAAACCGGAUUAGAUACCCGGGUAGUCCAGGGCGCAAACGCUGCUUGCUUGAUGUUAGCUGGGCUCCGAGCUCAGCUAGUGUCGGAGAGAAGUUGUAGCAAGCUGCCUGGGAAGUACGAUCGCAAGAUUAGAAACUUAAAGGAAUUGGGCGGGGAGCACAGCAACGGGUGGAGCGUGCGGUUU